rnacentral:rRNA from 1 species
UGGGGAAUUUUGGACAAUGGGCGAAAGCCUGAUCCAGCAAUGCCGCGUGUGUGAAGAAGGCCUUCGGGUUGUAAAGCACUUUUGUCCGGAAAGAAAUCCUUGGCUCUAAUACAGUCGGGGGAUGACGGUACCGGAAGAAUAAGCACCGGCUAACUACGUGCCAGCAGCCGCGGUAAUACGUAGGGUGCAAGCGUUAAUCGGAAUUACUGGGCGUAAAGCGUGCGCAGGCGGUUUGCUAAGACCGAUGUGAAAUCCCCGGGCUCAACCUGGGAACUGCAUUGGUGACUGGCAGGCUAGAGUAUGGCAGAGGGGGGUAGAAUUCCACGUGUAGCAGUGAAAUGCGUAGAGAUGUGGAGGAAUACCGAUGGCGAAGGCAGCCCCCUGGGCCAAUACUGACGCUCAUGCACGAAAGCGUGGGGAGCAAACAGGAUUAGAUACCCUGGUAGUCCACGCCCUAAACGAUGUCAACUAGUUGUUGGGGAUUCAUUUCCUUAGUAACGUAGCUAACGCGUGAAGUUGACCGCCUGGGGAGUACGGUCGCAAGAUC